UACUCCCCUGCUCAAAAAUCUCCAGCAGCUUUCUACUACACUUAAAAUAAAAAAAAGUCAGAUGCAGCUGAGUGCAGUGGCUCACACCUGUAAUCCCAGCACGAAGCCACUGCGCCUGGCCCUUCUUACUUUUCUUAAUACUUGUCCCUACCUAAUAUUAUGUAUUGAUGUACUUGUUUACUUCAUGUCCUUACUCCUAUUAAGAUGUAAGCAACAUGAUUGCUGGGACCCAUGAUUCUCAUUCACAUCUGCUCCACUGGUGUCCAGCACAACACCUAGUUCCAACUAGGCACUCAAGUAUUUGCCAAAUAAAUAAAGGAAUAUAUUUCUAGCCAAUGAAAGACAUAUCAACCUAAUCAUAAUAGAAGCUAGAAAGAAACUGGGUCCUAAAUAUGGACUGAACUCUGUUCCCCUAAAAUUUGAAUGUUGAGCCCUAACUAACUGUAUGUGGAGAUGGGGCUUUUAGGAGGUAAUUAAGGUUAAAGGAGGCCUAGAGGAGGGGUCCUAAUCCACUAGAAUUACUGGCCUUGUAAGAAGAAGAAGAGGGCCAGGUGCAGUGGCUCG
rnacentral:lncRNA from 10 species